rnacentral:rRNA from 1 species
GCCUAACACAUGCAAGUCGAACGGUAACAGGAAGCAGCUUGCUGCUUUGCUGACGAGUGGCGGACGGGUGAGUAAUGUCUGGGAAACUGCCUGAUGGAGGGGGAUAACUACUGGAAACGGUAGCUAAUACCGCAUAACGUCGCAAGACCAAAGAGGGGGACCUUCGGGCCUCUUGCCAUCGGAUGUGCCCAGAUGGGAUUAGCUAGUAGGUGGGGUAACGGCUCACCUAGGCGACGAUCCCUAGCUGGUCUGAGAGGAUGACCAGCCACACUGGAACUGAGACACGGUCCAGACUCCUACGGGAGGCAGCAGUGGGGAAUAUUGCACAAUGGGCGCAAGCCUGAUGCAGCCAUGCCGCGUGUAUGAAGAAGGCCUUCGGGUUGUAAAGUACUUUCAGCGGGGAGGAAGGCGAUAAGGUUAAUAACCUUGUCGAUUGACGUUACCCGCAGAAGAAGCACCGGCUAACUCCGUGCCAGCAGCCGCGGUAAUACGGAGGGUGCAAGCGUUAAUCGGAAUUACUGGGCGUAAAGCGCACGCAGGCGGUCUGUCAAGUCGGAUGUGAAAUCCCCGGGCUCAACCUGGGAACUGCAUUCGAAACUGGCAGGCUAGAGUCUUGUAGAGGGGGGUAGAAUUCCAGGUGUAGCGGUGAAAUGCGUAGAGAUCUGGAGGAAUACCGGUGGCGAAGGCGGCCCCCUGGACAAAGACUGACGCUCAGGUGCGAAA